rnacentral:lncRNA from 1 species
AUGUACCUCAUGUUUUCUUCCAUAAUGCAACACAAACUGAAGAACUCUGAACCAUAAUCAUCAUGUCACGACAGUUCUCAUUGGACAGGAGGUUGAAUGUCCCGAUGUUGACAUGGAUACUAACACUGACGUGAUGUUAUAACACAUUAAAACAGAGCUGUACAAUAGGCUAAGAUCAGCUAAAUGUAAUGACAUUACUUCAUGUUUAGAACACAGGUUUCAAAAAAUAGUUUUUAAAAGUCAGUUAAAUUGACCUAAAGUUAAUCAGAGAAAUUUCAUUAAAACAAGACUUCAGAUUGUGGUGUUUUUUUGUCCAAAAGCAAACCACAACUCAAGGUUGGUAGUAGUAGUGCUAGCUAUAACCUGUAGCUGCUAAAUGUGUUGAUCUAGCUGUAACCUGUAGCUGCUAAAUGUGUUGAUCUAGCUGAAACCUGUAGCUGCUAAAUGUGUUGAUCUAGCUAUAACCUGUAGCUGCUAAAUGUGUUGAUCUAGCUGUAACCUGUAGCUGCUAAAUGUGUUGAUCUAGCUAUAACCUGUAGCUGCUAAAUGUGUUGAUCUAACUAUAACCUGUAGCUUCUAAAUGUGUUGAUCUAGCAGUAACCUGUAGCUGCUAAAUGUGUUGAUCUAGCUGAAACCUGUAGCUGCUAAAUGUGUUGAUCUAACUAUAACCUGUAGCUGCUAAAUGUGUUGAUCUAGCAGUAACCUGUAGCUGCUAAAUGUGUUGAUCUAGCUGAAACCUGUAGCUGCUAAAUGUGUUGAUCUAGCUAUAACCUGUAGCUGCUAAAUGUGUUGAUCUAGCUGUAACCUGUAGCUGCUAAAUGUGUUGAUCUAGCUAUAACCUGUAGCUGCUAAAUGUGUUGAUCUAGCUAUAACCUGUAGCUGCUAAAUGUGUUGAUCUAGCUAUAACCUGUAGCUAGUACUACAGUAAAUGUGCAAGUCCAGAGAUAACAUUACAUAUCCGAGUUGAGGACAGAGGAGUGAGGUUAGAGUGGCCUAUGUUAAGCCAUGAGUAGUCAUAUCCAGGGUCUAGGGGUCAGGGGUCCAGGCCAAGGUCUAGGGGAUCCAGGCCAAGGUCUAGGGGUCGGGGAUCCAGGCCAAGGUCUAGGGGUCGGGGAUCCAGGCCAAGGUCUAGGGGUCGGGGAUCCAGGGCAAGGUCCAGGAGUCGGGUGUCCAGGCCAAGGUCCAGGGGUUGGGGAUCCAGGUCAAGGUCUAGGGGUUGGGGAUCCAGGUCAAGGUCUAGGGGUUGGGGAUCCAGAUCAAGGUCUAGGGGUUGGGGAUCCAGAUCAAGAUCUAGGGGUUGGGGAUCCAGGUCAAGAUCUAGGGGUUGGGGAUCAAGGCCAAGGUCUAGGGGUUGGAGGUCCAGGCCAAGGGGGUCCAGGCCAAGAUCUAGGGGUCGGGAAUCCAGGCCAAGGUCUAGGGGUUGGCGGUCUGAGGGUCUGUUGGGCUAGGAG